GACAGAGGGUGCGAACGUUGCUCGGAAUCACUGGGCGUAAAGCGCGUGUAGGCGGACGAUCAAGUCAGGUGUGAAAUCCCUGGGCUCAACCCAGGAACUGCAUCUGAAACUGGUUGCCUUGAGUGUUGGAGAGGGAAGCGGAAUUCCUGGUGUAGAGGUGAAAUUCGUAGAUAUCAGGAAGAACACCGGUGGCGAAGGCGGCUCUCUGGGCCUUACCUGACGCUGAGGAGCGAAAGCGUGGGUAGCGAACAGG
rnacentral:rRNA from 1 species